CGGCAGCUCGAGUGGUGAUCGUUUUUAUUGGGUCUAAAGCGUCCGUAGCCUGCUUGAUAAAUCCCUAGGUAAAUCGAACGGCUUAACCGUUCGGAUUCUAGGGAGACUGUCUAGCUUGGGACCGGGAGAGGUCUGAGGUACUCUCGGGGUAGAGGUGAAAUUCUGUAAUCCCGAGGGGACCACCAGUGGCGAAGGCGUCAGACUUGAACGGAUCCGACGGUGAGGGACGAAGGCCAGGGGAGCGAUCCGGAUUAGAUACCCGAGUAGUCC
rnacentral:rRNA from 1 species